UACCAGCACCCCGAGUGGUCGGGACGUUUAUUGGGCCUAAAGCAUCCGUAGCCGGUUCUGCAAGUCUUCCGUUAAAUCCACCUGCUUAACAGAUGGGCCGCGGAAGAUACUAUAGAGCUAGGAGGCGGGAGAGGCAAGCGGUACUCGAUGGGUAGGGGUAAAAUCCGUUGAUCCAUUGAAGACCACCAGUGGCGAAGGCGGCUUGCCAGAAUGCGCUCGACGGUGAGGGAUGAAAGCUGGGGGAGCAAACCGG
rnacentral:rRNA from 1 species